AUUGAACGCUGGCGGCAGGCCUAACACAUGCAAGUCGAGCGGAUGAAGGGAGCUUGCUCCUGGAUUCAGCGGCGGACGGGUGAGUAAUGCCUAGGAAUCUGCCUGGUAGUGGGGGAUAACGUCCGGAAACGGGCGCUAAUACCGCAUACGUCCUGAGGGAGAAAGUGGGGGAUCUUCGGACCUCACGCUAUCAGAUGAGCCUAGGUCGGAUUAGCUAGUUGGUGGGGUAAAGGCCUACCAAGGCGACGAUCCGUAACUGGUCUGAGAGGAUGUUCAGUCACACUGGAACUGAGACACGGUCCAGACUCCCACGGGAGGCAGCAGUGGGGAAUAUUGGACAAUGGGCGAAAGCCUGAUCCAGCCAUGCCGCGUGUGUGAAGAAGGUCUUCGGAUUGUAAAGCACUUUAAGUUGGGAGGAAGGGCAGUAAGUUAAUACCUUGCUGUUUUGACGUUACCAACAGAAUAGGCACCGGCUAACUUCGUG
rnacentral:rRNA from 1 species